UGGGGAAUCUUGCGCAAUGGGAGAAAUCCUGACGCAGCAACGCCGCGUGGGUGAUGAAGGUCUUCGGAUCGUAAAGCCCUGUCGGAGGGGAAGAUGCCUGGAACGUCUAAUAGAUGAGCCAGGUGACGGUACCCUCAAAGGAAGCACCGGCUAACUCUGUGCCAGCAGCCGCGGUAAUACAGAGGGUGCAAGCGUUGUUCGGAAUUAUUGGGCGUAAAGGGAGUGUAGGCGGUUUGUUAAGUCUUCUGUGAAAUCUACGGGCUUAGCCUGUAACGUGCAGAGGAAACUAGCAGGCUUGAGUGUCGGAGAGGAUAGGGGAAUUCCCGGUGUAGAGGUGAAAUUCGUAGAGAUCGGGAGGAACACCAGUGGCGAAGGCGCCUAUCUGGCGGACAACUGACGCUGAGACUCGAAAGCAUGGGGAGCAAACAG
rnacentral:rRNA from 1 species